GAUUAACGCUGGCGGCGUGCAUAACACAUGCAAGUCGAACGAUGAAACUUAGUAGACUUCUUCGGAAAGACACUAAGCGGAUUAGUGGCGAACGGGUGAGUAACGCGUGAGUAACCUGCCUUACACAAGGGGAUAGCCUUUGGAAACGAAGAAUAGUACCCUAUAAAACCAUAAAAGCACAUGCUAGAAUGGUCAAAGUGAUAGCGGUGUAAGAUGGACUUGCGUCUGAUUAGCUAGUUGGUGAGAUAAAAGCUCACCAAGGCAACGAUCAGUAGCCGGCUUGAGAGAGUGUACAGCCACAUUGGGACUGAGACACGGCCCAGACUCCUACGGGAGGCAGCAGUGGGGAAUUUUGCACAAUGGGGGAAACCCUGAUGCAGCGACGCCGCGUGAUUUAGAAGGCCUUCGGGUUGUAAAAAUCUUUUGUAUAGGAAGAAAAUGACAGUACUAUACGAAUAAGGUCCGGCUAAUUACGUG
rnacentral:rRNA from 1 species